GACGAACGCUGGCGGCGUGCUUAACACAUGCAAGUCGAACGGAAAGGCCCUGCUUUUGUGGGGUGCUCGAGUGGCGAACGGGUGAGUAACACGUAAGUAACCUGCCCUUGACUUUGGGAUAACUUCAGGAAACUGGGGCUAAUACCGGAUAGGAGCUCCUGCUGCAUGGUGGGGGUUGGAAAGUUUCGGCGGUUGGGGAUGGACUCGCGGCUUAUCAGCUUGUUGGUGGGGUAGUGGCUUACCAAGGCUUUGACGGGUAGCCGGCCUGAGAGGGUGACCGGCCACAUUGGGACUGAGAGACGGCCCAGACUCCUACGUGAGGCAGCAGUGGGGAAUAUUGCACAGUGGGCGGAAGCCUGAUGCAGCAACGCCGCGUGCGGGAUGACGGCCUUCGGGUUGUAAACCGCUGUCGCCUGUGACGAAGCGUGAGUGACGGUAAUGGGUAAAGAAGCACCGGCUAACUACGUG
rnacentral:rRNA from 1 species